rnacentral:pre_miRNA from 1 species
GACCCAAGUUUGAAGUAGAGUAGAUUAGAAUGAUCAUCUGACUCUACUAAACUACUCUACUUCGAGUGUGUGCUC